CAGCUUAGAGUUCUCUUUCCCAUUUUCAUACCAAUCCUCUUACAAUGCAGGUAAAAAGGAUGGAAGCUUGUUUGGUCAUCCAGGCUGCACACGGAUGCAAAAGCUAAUACUGGUUGUUGAAAUCAAAGGGAAAGCAGUGGCUAAAUCUGUCUGGCCACAUGGUGGUUGUCCUUUGUCUGGGAAGAGGAGCUUUUUAGGAGCAUGUUGAUGAAAGACAGAGUUUUGAUGGUGUAUGCAAAGACCAAGCCCAAACCAUCUUUAUCUGAGUGCUGAAGGGACAGAUUGCAGUUGCUCCUUUGCUUCCCCUGAGUC